AGAGUUUGAUCAUGGCUCAGGACGAACGCUGGCGGCGUGCUUAACACAUGCAAGUCGAGCGGAAAGGCCACUUCGGUGGUACUCGAGCGGCGAACGGGUGAGUAACACGUGAGUAAUCUGCCCUUCACUUGGGGAUAACCACCGGAAACGGUGGCUAAUACCCGAUACGACACGUCUCUGCAUGGAGUGCGUGUGGAAAGUUUUUUCGGUGGAGGAUGUGCUCGCGGCCUAUCAGCUUGUUGGUGGGGUAAUGGCCUACCAAGGCUUCGACGGGUAGCCGGCCUGAGAGGGUGACCGGCCACACUGGGACUGAGACACGGCCCAGACUCCUACGGGAGGCAGCAGUGGGGAAUAUUGGACAAUGGGCGGAAGCCUGAUCCAGCAACGCCGCGUGAGGGAUGACGGCCUUCGGGUUGUAAACCUCUUUCAGUACCGACGAAGCGAGAGUGACGGUAGGUACAGAAGAAGCACCGGCCGACUACGUGCCAGCAGCCGCGGUAAUACGUAGGGUGCGAGCGUUGUCCGGAAUUAUUGGGCGUAAAGGGCUCGUAGGCGGUUUGUCGCGUCGGGAGUGAAAACCAUGGGCUUAACUCAUGGCUUGCUUCCGAUACGGGCAGACUAGAGGUAUGCAGGGGAGAACGGAAUUCCUGGUGUAGCGGUGAAAUGCGCAGAUAUCAGGAGGAACACCGGUGGCGAAGGCGGUUCUCUGGGCAUUACCUGACGCUGAGGAGCGAAAGUGUGGGGAGCGAACAGGAUUAGAUACCCUGGGUAGUCCACACCGUAAACGUUGGGCGCUAGGUGUGGGGUCCAUUCCACGGAUUCCGUGCCGCAGCUAACGCAUUAAGCGCCCCGCCUGGGGAGUACGGCCGCAAGGCUAAAACUCAAAUGAAUUGACGG
rnacentral:rRNA from 1 species